UGCCAGUGAUGUGAGAAAAAUAUUUGCUACUCUUGAUGGCUUUAAAGAAUCCAUUUGAUGAUUCCUGUUCACCAAGAUCUCUGGGGCA